GUUAUAAAGGAUAAUGAUGAUAGUUUGAUGAUAUUCUCUUGCAAUACAAAAUAGCUUGUUGAAUAGAUCUGGUUAAGAUUAUCUGGUUCAGUGAGAUCUAUUCUAGUUUCCCCCAACAGCCGAACACUAACAUGUUGCCCUGGCUUGUAAAUAUUUUACUUUAAAUAAAAUUAGUAUGGACUGAAUUGAGAAUAGUGUUGGUCUACAAGUGUCCAUCACAGCUUGCACAACAGCAAAGGUGUGUGUGUGUGUGUGUGUGUGUGUGUGUGUGUGUGUGUGUGUGUGUGUGUGUGUGUGUGUGUGUGUGUGUGUGUGUGUGUGUGUGUGUGUGUGUGUGUGUGUGUGUGUGUGUGUGUGUGUGUGUUUAUGAGGCCUUGCUCCUGGGAUAAGUACAUUUACCUUUCACUUGUCCUGGCAAAAAAGUCACUCUUCCGAUUGUCAUUUUACAAUAGUAAUAAUUGUUCAUGUUGUUUGCGAAUGGAGAAUGCAGAAUUCAGACGAACAAACAGUUGCAAUAAUUCACACCAUGUCAACCACAUCACUAAAACAGCCAUAACCCUCCUCUCUCACACACACACACAAACAUACACACAGACACAGACAACGUCAACAAAACAAACUAAUUCUGCCGUUCCCAUAAUGUGGUGACUUAAGUUGUAUUCAAAUAUGAAUACAAAUCUGUAGUUGGCUCCUAGACAUGACCACUACGCUGUCUGCUAUAUUAUACCUAUGUACGUUGUAUAUUUAUAUUCAAUGAAAAAUAAUCUUGUGUCUGUUUGUGCUUGCAGGAGUCCGUGUGUCAACUGAAGACAUCUGAUAAGAGUGUCUUCAAUCUGAUAAGAGUGUCACCACUGUCACUUCCUGACACUGAUGAUAUCAGAUUGCAGGCUGACGACUCCUCAGAAUUAAAACAUGCAACGUGUUUUUUCCAGCUGAUAUAGCAGAACCGACUCCUGAGAGCAGACGUAUCUGAAGCUGUCAGGGAGGAACCAUGGCUACCAUCUCUGAACCGGACCCUGGACUCUCUGAGGAACCUGAGGACACGUCUUUGGACCGGAGGGAGCGCAAGAGAAGAUUUGCUGGUAGAGCAAAGAAGAAGGCUAAGUCCAGACGCCGUGGAAGCCGUCAGAGAGUAACAAUGGUCACCAUCUCGGACCGGGAGGAGACCAAGAAGAGAAGAUUUGCUCUAUGGUUUCACAUCACUGUCAUUGUGAGCAUCGGACUGCUGAGUAUUCUCCUCAUCUCCCUGCGCUUCAGUGAGUCUAAAUCAUAUCCUCCUGAAUAGAAUUACAAUACAGUAAUCAUAUCAUUGAUUGUAUUAAUAGCAAUGAUAAUGUUAAAUAUUGUUUUUGUUAGAUUUAGUGAUAAUAAUAGGGUUAGCACACAUACACCGCACGCACACCCAUAAACACAGCCUACACACACACAAACAAUCCACACACACGUGCACGAACACACACGCACAUGCACACACACUGCACACACGGGCGUGCUGAUGCAGGCGUUUCAAGACAAGGGCAGCGCAGGACACCGCCUACACACACACCACACACACAUGCACACACACACGCACACACAUGCACGUGCAUACACACACUGCACACACGCGGAUGCAGAUGUUUCAAGACAACCUUCUCACAGAGAGCCUCUGCGUGAGCGUCUGUAAACCUUGUACGGCCAAGAGUGCAAGAGACCA
rnacentral:lncRNA from 1 species